rnacentral:lncRNA from 1 species
CCCCACGGCCGCCCGCCCCCCCCACGCCGCCGCCGCUGCCGUGGGGCGCGCCAUGGCGAGACCCCCCGUGGGGAGAGUGUGGAGCGACCCACGGCGAGACCCCGUGGGGGGCACGGACUGACCCACGGCAAGACCCCGUGGGGGGCACAGACUGACCCACGGCGAGAUCCUGUGGGGGGCAUGGAGCGACCCACGGCGAGACCCCGUGGGGGGCACGGACUGACCCACGGCAAGACCCCGUGGGGGGCACAGACUGACCCACAGCAAGACCCUGUGGGGGUCAUGGACUGACCCAUGGCAAGACCCCGUGGGGGGCACAGACUGACCCACGGCGAGAUCCCGCGGGGGGCACGGAGCGACCCACAGUGAGACCCUGCAGGGGGAAUGGAUUGACCCACAGUGAGAUCCUGUGGUGGGCCUGGACUGACCCACGGCAAGAUCCAGUGGGGGGCACAGACUGACCCACAGCAAGACCCCGCGGGGGGCGCAGACUGACCCACAACGAGAUCCCGCGGGGGGGCACGGACUGACCCACGGCAAGACCCCGUGGGGGGAGCUUGGACCGACCCACAGCAAGACGCCGUGGGGGGAGCAUGAGCCGGACCACGGCGGGACCCCAUGGGGGUGCGGACUGACCCACGGCAAGACCCCAUGGGGAGCACGGACCGACCCACGGCGCGGCCAUGGGGGAGCAUGGACUGACCCACGGCGGGACCCCAAAGAGGGGCAUGGACCGACCCACAGCAUGGCCAUGGGGAAGCACGGACUGACCCACCACAGACCCCCAUGGGGGGAACCAUGGACCGACCCAUUGUGCCCCCCAUCUUGGGGGGGGCCGGGGCUGCAGACUGAACCAUUCUGGCCCCCCGCGGGGGGGAGAGGCACCACGGAGCGACCCACGGCGGACCCCACAGCGGGGGGGGGGGGAGACAAUCCACGACUGACCUGCUCCAGCCCCCUAUGGGGGGGAGACCCACGGAUUGACCCACUCCAGACCCCCAUGGGGGGGAGACCCAUGGACUGACCCACUCCAGACCCCACGGCGGGGGGGGAACCCAUGGAUUGACCCACUCCAGACUCCCAUGGAGGGACCCACGGAUUGACCCACUCCAGACCCCCAUGGUGGGGGGGAGACCCACGGACUGACCCACUCCAGACCCCACAGCGGGGGGGACCCACGGCCCGACCCAUUGCCCAGGUUUUGGGGGUGCCAAUCGGCUGUUAGAGCAGACCACGCCCCCUUGGGGGAGGGGCAACGGUGCGUAUUUAUUUGUGGGGGGGGCGGAUUUUGCCAAAUUUCCCCUCCUGACCCCC